GCUUGAUUCGCAGCAGGCUUGCAAGACUGCAUUCUUAGGUGCUAGACUUCUCAAUAGAUAACUUCAAGGAGCCCAGCGCCAGGGAGUGAGGCCCUCAACAAACCUUUUGGUGGCAGGGCAGUGUGAGUUUGCCCACAUCCUGCAUUCAUGAUAAACAGUUUGCUGUUUGAUCCUAUAGCCUCCAGCGAAAUGCUGAGUUGGUCACUUCCCAGGGGCCUUCAGCUCCCUGCACCUCACAUUCUGUAUUUGUCCUGAUUAGCCAGCAACUUAGAACUUUUUAAAAGAGGCAAAGGCAGAGGAGAACAAAGGAGGAAGUAACUUGUGGAAUGCUGAGAAAGGUAAAAACACCUCCAAAUAAGGAAGAGGAACAGACUAUGACUUAAUACUUGCUUGGACCAGUGUAAGCAUGCCAGGGCAAAUAUUUAGGCUAAAUUGUGGGAGCUAAGAACACAAAGUACAUUGAUUUCUUUAUUAUAGCUAGCAGAUAUCUAAGAAUGUUAGCACAGGUCUUUGAAUAAAUUUUGUUUCUGAGAGAAGUUACUAUUUAUUCCUAAUUAGACGGGGAGGAAAGUCUCUUUGAAGAGGAACCUCUAUUUUAUUUUUACACUCAGAAGCCCGGGCAGCUCUGCCGGGAGUGCAGGGAGGCAGCUCUCCUGGGGGUGCAGAACACAUUGGAUACACCGGUUAUUUUACCAAGGCUUUGGCUGGAAUGUUACAUUUUUGAAUGUGACCAAACUGCUUUGAGGAAUUGAGGCUGACUUUAUAAAGCCAAUAGACAUGGGAAAGACUGGCCUCAUGCCUUGCCCACACGGUUCUCUUACAAGGUUCCUCAGCUUGCGCUGAGCCUAGUGACUCCUGAGCACUGAGCCAUCACUUCAACAACAUCUCCAACUAUCAAAGAGGACAACUAUAAACAGAAGUCCCACCAAAACGCACAGGAGCAGAAUAUGCACUUUUUUACCUGUUGACUCUGUCUCUUUAAUUUUCAUACUACUUUAUCAGAAGAUUCACCUGUAGUCAAAAGCCACCUAUUCACAAACACAACUGACUGAUUCAGAGCAUUGAUUCCAUAAUGUUAUAUGGCAUAGAAUUAUAUGCCCUGGAGAAUUCCUCCCUGAAGAACGUGAAAUCACUUCAUAGAGACCUUCCUGUAUUUUUGUGUGAUAACUAACGAGGCUUAAACUUGGCCCCUCGGGUGAGAAAGCUCAAGAGCACAAACAUGGAGCAGCACUCCUUCUUAUGUCUAUGGGGAAUGAGCACCUCUUCCCACAAGAGACUCAAUUCCACCGUGACACCUCCCAGUAGGAGGUUUUGGUAUCAGGAUGACACCAAAAGCAAUGGCAACAAAAGCCAAAAUUGACAAAUGGAAUCUAAUUAAACUAAAGAGCUUCUGCACAGCAAAAGAAACUAUCAUCAGAGUGAACAGGCAACCUACAGAAUGGGAGAAAAUUCCUGCAAUCUAUCCAUCUGACAACGGGCUAAUAUCCAGAAUCUACAAGGAACUUAAACAAAUUUACAAGAAAAAAGCAAACAACCCCAUCAAAAAAUAGGUGAAGAAUAUGAACAGACACUUCUCAAAAGAAGACAUACAUGCAGCCAACAAACAUAUGAAAAAAAGCUUAUCAUCACUGGUCAUUAGAGAAAUGCAAAUCAAAACCACAAUGAGAUACCAUCUCAUGCCAGUUAGAAUGCAGAUCAUUAAAAAGUCAGGAAACAACAGGUGCUGGAGAAAUAGGAACGCUUUUACACUGUUGGUGGGAGUGUAAAUUAGUUCUACCAUUGUGGAAGACAGUGUGGCGAGGAUCUAGAAUCAAAAAUGCCUUUUGACCCAGCAAUCCCAUUACUGUGUAUAUACCCAAAGGAUUAUAAAUUAUUCUACUAUAAAGACAUAUGCACACAUAUGUUUAUUGCAGCACUAUUCACAAUAGCAAAGUCUUGAAACCCAAAUGCCCAUCAAUGAUAGACUGGAUUAAGCAAAUGUGGCACAUAUACACCACGGAAUACUAUGCAGCCAUGGAAAAGGAUGAGUUCAUGUCCUUUGUAGGGACAUGGAUGAAGCUGGAAACCAUCAUUCUCAGCAAACUAUCUCAGGGACAAAAAUACAAACACCACAUGUUCUCACUUAUAGGUGGGAAUUGAACAAUGAGAACACUUGGACACAGGAAGGGGAACAUCACACACUGGGGCCUGUUGAGGGGUGGUAGGUGGGGGGAGGGAUAGCAUUAGGAGAUAUACCUAAUGUAAAUGACGAGUUAAUGGGUGCAGCACACCAACAUGGCACAUGUAUACAUAUGUAACAAACCUGCACAUUGUGCACAUGUACCCUAGAACUUAAAGUAUAAUAAUUAAAAAAAAGAAAUUUGAUCCCCAAUGUUGAAGGUGGGGCCUAGUGGGAGAUGUUUGGGUCAUGGUGGUGGAUCUCUUAUUAAUAGACUGAUUUCCUGGGGUGAUGAGGGGAGUGAGUGAGUUCUUAGUUUGUUAGUUCUGCUAGAGAUGGUUGCAAAAAAUAGCUUGACACCUUCCCUCUUUCUCUUUUUUUCACUUCCUCUCCCACUGUGUGAUCUCUAUACUCUGCCUCUCCUUCCCCUUCAGCCAUAAGUGGAAGCAGCUUGAGGUCCUCAUCAGAUGUAGAUGCUGGCACCAUGCUUCUUGUACAGACUGAAGAGCCAUGAACUAAAUAAAUCUCCCUUCUUUGUAAAUUACCCAGUCUCGGGUAUUUCUUUGCAGCAAUGCUAACAGACUAAAACAUUACUACAAUUGCAUUGAUCUUCAGAUAGAUAACAAAAGAUGAGUCAAUUGACAAACCAUUGAAAAUUAAAUGUGAGAACCAGAGUGUCAGUCACUCACAAAGAGGUCCUCAUCUCUUGCAACAAGCAGGCAGAAAAAAUGGAGAUCAUUUUCAGGGUUCAGUAGUCACAGUGGCUGAACUUCAAUGAUACCUGCAUGCUUAAUCAAGGUAGCUAUGUUAAGCCAAAUCUGGAGCCAGAGUUGGAAAAAAUCUAAGGCUUUGACACAUGGGAUAAGAAUUCUAGGUGGAUGCCUCCAAAGAUCUGGACUUCAAAGAUAUCACUAAACUUUCUAACACUGCAGAAGUGACCAACCCCUCCCUAUUCAGGGCAGGAAGACUAUCGAAGAGGCGCACGAUCAGAAACUGCCUUCCCCUCUUUUCCUCAACACCAGGCCUAUAAAUAUGGUUAAGUCACAGCACAGCUCAGCCAGGGAAAUAAGGAAAGAAUGGAACAAUACCACAAAAGAACUGCAAGAUCUAACAGACCUUCACCAACAAGGGGAGAACCAUGGUACUUGUCCUGAGGGUGCUGGACCAGGAGGCUGGUAGGCAAGGCUGGAUAAGUGAAAGUUUAUUGACCUGAUCUGGAAAGAAAAGAAAGGGAGUUUGGCAGCAGGGAGGUCUAGGGUAGAGGCAUAUUGAUAGGCAUAUGGAGUGGGCAUAAAGUGUGAAGGUCUUUGUAUCUUGUGUUAACACCUGGUCAGUAGGUAAAAUGACUCACCCAGUUGACAAAUUAGCCUACUUCUUCUGUCAGCAACCACCCCAGUGCUGGCAUGAUGCCCACAAGAACAAAGUGGCCUGGCAGCAGAGAUAAAGGCUAUGCAAAAGCCCAAGCAACGUGGAACUCAUUUACCAAGACCAACCAGAUUUACUAGUUAUAAUGUGUAACUCCUCAAAAAAAUUACAAAUCAGUGCAUAGACCAUAUACAAAUAUACCCAUACACAUUUAGAAUUAAUGUGAUAUGAUUUCAUAUUGUAAUUCCUUAAACACAAAUUCAGUCAACUCUAUAUGAAUUGAAAUAAUACCAGUAAACAAUUCAGAUAUUUAUGUCAAAUUUCAUAUGUAAUAGAGACCACGUAAACAAUCAGUAGGGAUUUGUUUAACAAUUAUAAACCUAAAACCAGUUUAA
rnacentral:lncRNA from 10 species